GUCUUUUUGGUAUUUAAUAUAAAGUCUAACCUGCCCACUGAAAGUAAUUUAAAGGGCCGCAGUAUUUUGACUGUGCAAAGGUAGCAUAAUCAUUAGUCUUUUAAUUGAAGGCUGGUAUGAAUGGUUGGAUAAGAUACAAGCUGUGUCAUGAAAAUUAAUAAUUGAAUUUAACUUUUUAGUUAAAAGGCUAAAAUAAAAUUAAAAGACGAGAAGACCCUAUAGAGCUUUAUACAAUAAUUAUUUAAGUUAUUUAGUUUUUUAAAAUUUAAUUUUUAUAUUGUAUUUUGUUGGGGUGACAAUAAAAUUUAUAAAACUUUUAUUUUUAAUUUACAUUAAUUUAUGAUUAAAUGAUCCAGUUUUAUUGAUUAUAAAUUUAAGUUACCUUAGGGAUAACAGCGUAAUUUUUUUUGAGAGUUCUUAUCGACAAAAAAGAUUGCGACCUCGAUGUUGGAUUAAGAGUAAUUUUGGGUGUAGAAGUUCAAAAUUUAAGUCUGUUCGACUUUUAAAUUCUUACAU
rnacentral:rRNA from 1 species